CCCCAUAGUCUGGGAUACCACUUGGAAACAGGUGCUAAUACCGGAUAAGAAAGCGGAUCGCAUGAUCAGCUUUUAAAAGGCGGCGUAAGCUGUCGCUAUGGGAUGGCCCCGCGGUGCAUUAGCUAGUUGGUAAGGUAAAGGCUUACCAAGGCGAUGAUGCAUAGCCGAGUUGAGAGACUGAUCGGCCACAUUGGGACUGAGACACGGCCCAAACUCCUACGGGAGGCAGCAGC
rnacentral:rRNA from 1 species